rnacentral:rRNA from 1 species
UACGAAGGGGGCUAGCGUUGUUCGGAUUUACUGGGCGUAAAGCGCGCGUAGGCGGGUCGUUAAGUCAGGGGUGAAAUCCCGAGGCUCAACCCCGGAACUGCACUGGAUACUGCUUUGCUAGAGUACUGGAGAGGGAACUGGAAUUUACGGUGUAGCAGUGAAAUGCGUAGAUAUCGUAAGGAAGACCAGUGGCGAAGGCGAGUUCCUGGACAGUAACUGACGCUGAGGCACGAAGGCCAGGGGAGCAAACGGG